CAGAGGAAGUGAACAGCAGACAUGCUAGGAGAUCACGACUGCCACCCUGGGAGAUGUCCUUGGAGAAGAAGCUGGUACCGGAAAUGAUCUGAAGGAUCAGCCUUGGCCUGGGAGUCUGAGCUGAUAUAUGGAUGGCAGCAGUUUCAUGGUUGAAGAUACGUUUUCAGGCUGGAUAGAAGCUUUUCCUACCAGGACUGAGACGGCCAAUGUGGUGGCUAAGAAGAUCAUAGAAGAAAUCUUCCUCAGGUUUGAGAUACCGAAGGUAAUCGGAUCUGAUAAUAGACCUGCCUUUGUUGCCCAGGUAAGUCAGGGACUGGCCGCCCAAGUGGGGAUCAAUUGGAAAUUACAUUGUGCUUACCAACACCAUAGCUCAGACCAGGUAGAAAGGAUGAA